GACGGAUGGGGCUAGCGUUGUUCGGAAUUACUGGGCGUAAAGGGCGCGUAGGCGGCCAAUUAAGUUAGGCGUGAAAGCCCCAGGCUUAACCUGGGAAUUGCGUUUAAUACUGGUUGGCUAGAGUUCGGUAGAGGAAAGCGGAAUUCCUAGUGUAGAGGUGAAAUUCGUAGAUAUUAGGAAGAACACCAGAGGCGAAGGCGGCUUUCUGGACCGGGACUGACGCUGAGGCGCGAAAGCGUGGGGAGCAAACAGG
rnacentral:misc_RNA from 1 species